rnacentral:lncRNA from 1 species
AUUCUCUUUAAAGAGAGGUUGGGCUAAAUACUGUUCAUUUUGCACAUUCCAUUUCACACUUAAACUAGUUCGUUACUGUUCAUUAACUUGUUUGCAUCGUUUAUCCAUGAAUAUCUCUCCACUGUUCGUUAAAUAUCUCGCAAAUCACGUCUCUAUCCACUUCCUUCCUCGUUCGCUUCUUUUCUCAUUUCUUGGUUUCGUACUAACCUCAAGAACUGCACUCCAAAACGAUAUGAGCAGCAAAGAGAAUCUACUGGCGACAAAGCUCAAGUGGCCAACCCAUCUGAAGGUCACUAUUUAGCAAUUCUCUAUCUGUAUCUAUGUUGUAUGUAUAUGUAUUUUCUUGAUUUCACCAUUCUAACCCUUGUAAAUAUUGUAGAUUCUAACAUAUUGUUGGGUUCUUUUUCUUCACAUACCAUCGAAAAAUUCCAUGCUAGAAUUUUCACUUUAAUAUAUUGGAUUCUUUCUUAAUAAGGAAUUUGAAAAACCUUAAAACUCCCUCAAAUUAAAAAAUCUCUCUUUUUAAUCUUGCAUUCAAUUGAAUUUUCUUCAUUCUAAUCGAUAAUAAAUUUUCCAUUUUCGCAUUAAUCCCUUUUGUUAUUUCAUUUGAUCAAAGUGUUUUUCCUUUUUUUUGAAUGGGUAUGCAGUACUCCAUUAAAAUAAGAAUUUUUUCUUCAUCAUCUUACAUAUUUUGCAUUCAUAUGCACCCAAAUUAUUAUACAUAUGUUUUCAUUCAUGUUUAGAAAAUCUUAAGUUGUUUGGAUGACUCGAAGAUUAAAUAUGCAUUCUUGGAAUUUGUAUUUAUUCAACAAGUAAUUGAUUUAUCUAAGGUUAAUUCAUGUAUGAUUAUUUACAUAGGAAAUGAGAAGUUGGGUUUAAGAAAGGUUUUCUAAUGCAGGGGUUUGCACCUAAGAAUUUUUUCUAUGAUUUAAACAAAGUCCUUGAAUUUUGCUGAGUUUUGAUUCACUUUUCAAUUUUCAUGACUUAGAUGAAGAGAGUUAGUGAAAAUUCUGAAGGAGAAACGAAAUGUUGGGAUUUAAGAAGUUUAGGUGUUUUGAUGGGAUUGGUGAAAACUACAGGAGUUUUGAGACAAUGGGUGGUGGAAAAGAGGGUGUGAUAUUAAAAAUGGAGAAGUGGGUGUUGGAGCAAUGAAUCAAAAUGAUUUCUUUGUUGGAAAUGAGGUUUCUCUAAUUUUGUUGUGUAUUCAAGUCUUCUUCAUGUGAAUGGUGAGAACAAAUGGGACUUUGAUAUCAACAUUGAUUUGAUUUUAAUGAUCAGAAAGAGGAAAAUAGGUUGGAUUUUGAUGUUAGUGUGCCCAAUGUGCCGAACUCUAACAUGAAAGAUGGUGGAAUGGAAAUUGUAUAUGUGAUAAGAGUGUAAAAUAUGAUAUUUUUUCCUUUUAAUUAUUGCAUUAUGCAAUUAUAUUAUGUUAAAAUGCACUCAUUACUCCUAUGUUUUAGGUUGCGUUUUGGUGAAAAAGAUGAAAUUCGGAAAAAACAAGCGAAAAGGGACCAAAAUGAAAGAAAGCGAAAGUUCAGGGACGAAGUUGAAAAUAAUUCAAAGAUGAGAUGACCGAUGGAAUGAUGAUUCAAGAAUGCUAAGGGUCAAUUGGGUGCAAUUAGAAGUCAAAGGAAGUGAAAUAUGAUCAUAACAUAUUCACAUAUCAAUUCCUAAUCAAAAAAGUUGCGCAUCGAUUUUCAGCCUUAUAUUUAGACCUAUUUUUGAUAUGGAAAAUGAUCGAUCUAGAAGAUGAUGUCUGAAUCAGAGUUGUAUCCCUUUGAGAUAUCUUUCAAAUGCAACUUGAAUCAUCUCAAUCGGAUAUCAGAAGGAAAAGUUAUGGCUAAAAUACUAAAAGUUGUCAGGCGGAGAAAAUGACAAUAACCAUGCGGUCGCACUAGCACCUCCAGGGAAUUCCAGAGGCCAAAAUGUUUCUACCAUGUGACUACAACACUUAUAACCAUGCGGUCGCAUGGUUAUUCCUUGAGGCCAAAAUUUAUGUUUCCUUAAUCGACUCAACCACUUAUGGAAACACGGUUUUCACACGUUUUAAACCCUAAUCUCAACCAGAAUGUCUAUUAUUCAUUCUCUAUCACUUUUCUUUGAUUUUUGGCUCAAGAAAUUCAUGGAGAACUAAACUUAUUGGUGAAGCCACGAAGGAACUCGAUUAGAUUUGGGAAUUUUCAUGUCUUUUCUUGCUUAAAUAUGUUCUUUCAUUGUUAAACAAUUCUAGAUUUAGAUUUCUUAUUCUUAUGAACAUGUUUUGAGAUUGGUUUAAUUUGUAUUAAAUUUUCAUGGAUUCUGUUGACGUCAAAAUUCACAAGGCUAAUUUUAAGCCAACUUUAAGAAAAAAGGGAAUUUUUUAUCGAAAGAAAUCACAAAAUAUGUUGAGAAAGUGUAAUUGUGUCAUGAGCUUUUACAUGAAUUCACUUGCCCUUUACAAGAUUUUUGCCCUACUAUUUAUACAUGGUUCCAGCCGAAAUUAUAUCAAAUCAGUCAAAUCAACUAUAGUACCGAGCUCGAAACUCGGGUCGUCGAAUUCUCCUGUGAUUGGUCAACGAGGCAUGUGGACAUGUGUCAAUAUUUUCCCCAGGUAAUGAUGACCUACAAGGGGCUUGAGAAUCAUGGCUUCGGAUUGUCGGUUUUGGGCGGUGAUGACGUCACUUGUGGCAAGUGUAUAUGA